rnacentral:rRNA from 1 species
GGUCAAGCUACUAAGGGCGUGCGGUGGAUGCCCUGGCGCCAGCAGGCGAAGAAGGACGUGGCAAGCUGCGAAAAGCCUCGGGGAGUCGCAAGCAGACGUUGAUCCGAGGAUGUCCGAAUGGGGAAACCCGUCCGGUGUGAACACCGGACACAGCUCGCUGAAUACAUAGGCGAGCAUGAGCCAACCCGGGGAAGUGAACCAUCUCAGUACCCGGAGGGAAAAGAAAUCAACCGAGAUUCCGGGAGUAGCGGCGAGCGAAACCGGAUCAGCCUAAACCCCGGUUCUUUGAACCGGGGGGUUGUAGGGCCCGCAACAAGUAGGGUUACCAAUCCGGAGGCUAGGUGAAGGAGCUGGAAAGCUCCGCCAUAGAGCGUGAAAGUCGCGUAACCGAAAGCUUACCGGACCCGAAGCGGGUACCUGAGUACCACGGGACACGUGAAAUCCCGUGGGAAUCUGGGGAGACCACUCUCCAAGGCUAAACACUCGCUGGCGACCGAUAGUGAACCAGUACCGUGAGGGAAAGGUGAAAAGAACCCCUGCGAGGGGAGUGAAAUAGAACCUGAAACCGCAUGCCUACAAGCAGUCGGAGGGCUAUGCUCCGGUCUUCGGACCGGAGAAGGCCUGACGGCGUGCCUCUUGCUUAAUGAGCCGGCUAGUUAUUCUCCCAGGCGAGGCUAAGCGAAAGCGAGCCGUAGCGAAAGCGAGUCCGAAUAGGGCGACCAGUCUGUGGGAAUAGACGCGAAGCGGGACGAUCUACCCUUGGCCAGGUUGAAGGCCGCUUAACCGCGGCUGGAGGACCGAACCGGUGUUGGUUGAAAACAGCUCGGAUGAGCUGAGGGUAGGGGUGAAAGGCUAAUCAAGUUCCGUUAUUGCUCGUUCUCCCCGAAAUGCCUUUAGGGGCAGCCUUGUGUGAUCUGCCACGGUGGUAGAGCACUGAAUGGACUAGGGGGCAACCAAGCCUACCGAAUCCAAUCAAACUCCGAAUGCCGUGGACAGUAACACGGGAGUGAGACUACGAGGGAUAAGCCCC